rnacentral:rRNA from 1 species
AUUGAACGCUGGCGGCAUGCUUUACACAUGCAAGUCGAACGGUAACAGGCCGCCAGGUGCUGACGAGUGGCGAACGGGUGAGUAAUGCAUCGGAACGUGCCCAGUCGUGGGGGAUAACUACUCGAAAGAGUAGCUAAUACCGCAUACGAUCUAUGGAUGAAAGCGGGGGACCGUAAGGCCUCGCGCGAUUGGAGCGGCCGAUGUCAGAUUAGGUAGUUGGUGGGGUAAAGGCUCACCAAGCCAACGAUCUGUAGCUGGUCUGUGAGGACGACCAGCCACACUGGGACUGCGACACGGCCCAGACUCCUACGGGAGGCAGCAGUGGGGAAUUUUGGACAAUGGGCGCAAGCCUGAUCCAGCAAUGCCGCGUGCAGGAAGAAGGCCUUCGGGUUGUAAACUGCUUUUGUACGGAACGAAACGGCUCUGGUUAAUACCCGGGGCUAAUGACGGUACCGUAAGAAUAAGCACCGGCUAACUACGUG